UACGUAGGGUCCAAGCGUUGUCCGGAUUUAUUGGGCGUAAAGAGCUCGUAGGCGGUUUCGUAAGUCGGAUGUGAAAACUCAGGGCUCAACCCGGAGACGCCAUCCGAUACUGCGAUGACUUGAGUCUGGUAGGGGAACACGGAAUUCCUGGUGUAGCGGUGAAAUGCGCCAGAUAUCGGGAGGAACACCGGUGGCGAAGGCGGUUCUCUGGGCCUGUACUGACGCUGAGGAGCGAAAGCGUGGGGAGCAAACAGGAUUAGACUACCCCGAGUAAGUCCGAG
rnacentral:rRNA from 1 species